GGGAUUGUAGUAUAGUGGUCAGUACUUCUCGUUGUGGUUUCUCGCAACGAUCCGAGAGGACCCAGGUUCGAUUCCUGGUGAUCCCA